AAAUGUAGAUGUCAAAGAUUCUGAGAUGUCAAAAUCCAAUGUUGAUAGUGAUGGUUUUCAAAUAGUAAAAUCGAAACGUUCUACUAAAAACAAACAAACCAAAGUUCCUCCGAAGAACUUGCAAUUUCACGGGGAGGAUGUAAAUAUUGACGUCGCAACAUCCGUGUGCCGAAUACAAUCAUCUGUGGAAGAAUUAAAGGUUUCUGAAUACUUUAAAAGCAUAACUAAUACUGUGUAAUCAUGGCUUCGCUUACAACGAAACCUGCUUUAGUGACUUUGCGGCAGUUGCUCUCCGAGUUGCGGAAACAGAGCUCGGCAAAAAAGCUAUCUGAUAACCAAAUGGUCCAAUAUGUGUUUAGCCAAUAUCGUAAGUACCAGACUACAGACCAACAACUGUGCAAGGCGGCUGACGAAAUGCAUUAUAGAGCUAAAACAUAUUUUGAUUAUAUGCAUCAUAUUCGGAAGUAUAAAGAAAUUAAUACAGAGUUCAAAGGAAAAGGGGAGCGAAGUGUGGAAGAUACGGCCAGGAUGGUUGGGUUUAAAUUGCCUCAUGAUCCCCCGAAACCUUAAAUUGUAUGUCAAAUAUAGAUUAUUAGUUUAAAAUUAGAUGUAUCUGUAAAUAUAUCAUUUUCAAAGCAUAA
rnacentral:misc_RNA from 1 species